rnacentral:tRNA from 1 species
GAGGGUAUAGCUCAGUGGCAGAGUACCUGCCUGGCAUGCAUGAGGUCCUGUGUUCAAUCCCAAGUACCUACA